rnacentral:rRNA from 1 species
UACGUAGGCAGCAAGCGUUGUUCGGAAUUACUGGGCGUAAAGAGUGUGUAGGCGGUGCUCUAAGUUCGGUGUGAAAUCUCCCGGCUCAACUGGGAGGGUGCGCCGGAAACUGGAAUGCUUGAGCGUGGGAGAGGAAAGCGGAAUUCCUGGUGUAGCGGUGAAAUGCGUAGAUAUCGGGAGGAACACCAGUGGCGAAGGCGAUCACCUGGGGUUGUUCUGACGCUGAGGAGCGAAAGCUAGGGGAGCAAACGGG